rnacentral:rRNA from 1 species
UGGGGAAUCUUGCGCAAUGCGCGAAAGCGUGACGCAGCAACGCCGCGUGCGGGAAGACGGCCUUCGGGUUGUAAACCGCUUUCAGUUGGGACGAAGCUCCGUCGGUGAAUAGCCGGCCGGAGUGACGGUACCUUCACAAGAAGCCCAGGCUAACUACGUGCCAGCAGCCGCGGUAAUACGUAGGGGGCAAGCGUUGUCCGGAAUCAUUGGGCGUAAAGCGCGUGUAGGCGGUUCGGUAAGUCCGCUCUGAAAGCCCGGGGCUCAACCCCGGGAGGCGGGUGGAUACUGCUGAACUCGAGUCCGGAAGAGGCGAGUGGAAUUCCUGGUGUAGCGGUGAAAUGCGCAGAUAUCAGGAGGAACACCAAUGGCGAAGGCAGCUCGCUGGGACGGUACUGACGCUGAGGCGCGAAAGCGUGGGGAGCAAAC